rnacentral:rRNA from 1 species
GACGAACGCUGGCGGCGUGCCUAAUACAUGCAAGUCGAGCGGACUGAUUAAGAGCUUGCUCUUAUGACGUUAGCGGCGGACGGGGGAGUAACACGUGGGCAACCUGCCCUGUAGAUCGGGAUAACACCGAGAAAUCGGUGCUAAUACCGGGUAAUAUCUGAGAUCACAUGAUCUUAGGUUAAAAGAUGGCUCCGGCUAUCACUACAGGAUGUGCCCGCGGCGCAUUAGCUAGUUGGUAAGGUAAUGGCUUACCAAGGCGACGAUGCGUAGCCGACCUGAGAGGGUGAUAGGCCACACUGGGACUGAGACACGGCCCAGACUCCUACGGGAGGCAGCAGUAGGGAAUCUUCCGCAAUGGACGAAAGUCUGACGGAGCAACGCCGCGCGAGUGAUGAAGGGUUUCGGCUCGUAAAGAUCUGUUGUUAGGGAAGAAACAGUACCGAACGAACUAGGUCGGUACCUUGACGGUACCUAAACAGAAAGCCACGGCUAACUCCGUG